UAUGUGGUUUAAUUCGAUGCAACGCGAAGAACCUUACCUGGUCUUGACAUCCCGGAGACCCUUAGGAAACUAGGGGGUGCUUCCAUCUGGAAGAAUCUGGAGACAGGUGCUGCAUGGCUGUCGUCAGCUCGUGUCGUGAGAUGUUGGGUUAAGUCCCGCAACGAGCGCAACCCUUGCCUUUAGUUGCCAGCAGUUCGGCUGGGCACUCUAAAGGGACUGCCGGUGUUAAACCGGAGGAAGGUGGGGAUGACGUCAAGUCCUCAUGGCCUUUAUGACCAGGGCUACACACGUACUACAAUGGCCGAUACAAAGGGCAGCGACACUGCGAGGUGAAGCCAAUCCCGUAAAAUCGGUCUCAGUCCGGAUUGGAGUCUGCAACUCGACUCCAUGAAGUUGGAAUCGCUAGUAAUCGUGGAUCGGCAUGCCACGGUGAAUACGUUCCCGGGCCUU
rnacentral:rRNA from 1 species